rnacentral:rRNA from 1 species
UGGUUGACCUACCCCAAGUAAGGGAUACCGGUCCGAAAGGACUACUAAUACCUUAUAAGCUCCCGGUGUUUAGAAAACUGGGAGAAAAGUUCCGGCGCUUUGGGCGGGGACUGCGGACCAUCAGCUAGUUGGUGUGGUAACGGCACACCAAGGCGACGACGGAUAGGGGACCUGAGAGGGUGGCCCCCCACACUGGAACUGAGACACGGUCCAGACUCCUACGGGAGGCAGCAGUGAGGAAUAUUGCACAAUGGGCGCAAGCCUGAUGCAGCGACGCCGCGUGGGUGAUGAAGGUUUUCGGAUCGUAAAGCCCUUUUCUAGAUGACGAGUAAGGACGGUAGUCUAGGAAUAAGUGUCGGCUAACUACGUGCCAGCAGCCGCGGUAAAACGUAGGACACAAGCGUUAUCCGGAGUUACUGGGCGUAAAGGGCGUGUAGGCGGACCUGUAAGUCUAUUCUAAAAGCUCCUGGCUAAACUGGGAGAGGCGAAUGGAGACUGCAGAUCUAGAGUGAGGAAGAGGAAAGUGGAAUUCCGCGUGUAGUGGUGAAAUGCGUAGAGAUGCGGAGGAACACCAGUGGCGAAAGCGACUUUCUGGUCCUUAACUGACGCUGAGGCGCGAAAGCAUGGGGAGCGAACGGGAUUAGAAACCCCGGUAGUCCAUGCCAUAAACGAUGUUCACUAAACGUUCGUUUCCCGCGAGGGAAGCGGGUGUUGAGGCCAACGCAGUAAGUGAACCGCCUGGGGAGUACGGUCGCAAGGCUAAAACUCAAAGGAAUUGACGGGGGACCGCACAAGCAGCGGAGCGUGUGGUUUAAUUCGAGGCUACACGAAGAACCUUACCUGGGUUUGACAUCGUGUUGAAGUGCCCAUGAAAGUGGGUAUGCCUCGCAAGAGCAAUACGACAGGUGCUGCAUGGCUGUCGUUAGCUCGUGCCGUGAGGUGUUCGGUUAAGUCCGCAAACGAGCGCAACCCUUGC